rnacentral:rRNA from 1 species
AAUCAACGCUGGCGGCGUGCCUCAGACAUGCAAGUCGAACGAGAAAGUUUCCUUCGGGGAAUGAGUAAAGUGGCGCACGGGUGAGUAACACGUAGGUAAUCUACCUUCGGGUGGGGAAUAACCCAGGGAACUUGGGCUAACACCGCAUAAUGCAGCGGCACCACAUGGUGACAGUUGUUAAAGCGGGGGAGUUUUAGGUACCGUCGCGCCUGAAGAGGAGCCUGCGGCGGAUUAGCAGUUGGUAAGGUAACGGCUUACCAAGGCGACGAUCCGUAACCGGCCUGAGAGGGCGGGUCGGUCACACUGACACUGACAUACGGGUCAGACUCCUACGGGAGGCAGCAGUCGGG